UUCUUUGGGGCGGGGUGCAAUUCCCCACCGGCAGUGAUUGCUUUUGCAUAAGUCUGCGACGAAGGGUGCAUGCCCUUCCUGAUUCGGUGCAAGUCCGAAACCGACGGUAUAGUCCGGAUGGUAAAAGA
rnacentral:ncRNA from 1 species